CCUACGGAGGCAGCAGUGGGGAAUAUUGGACAAUGGGCGCAAGCCUGAUCCAGCCAUGCCGCGUGAGUGAAGAAGGCCUUAGGGUUGUAAAGCUCUUUUGGCGGGGACGCGGUACCCGCAGAAUAAGCCCCGGCUAACUUCGUGCCAGCAGCCGCGGUAAUACGAAGGGGGCUAGCGUUGUUCGGAAUCACUGGGCGUAAAGCGUACGCAGGCGGAUUGAUAAGUCAGGGGUGAAAUCCCGGGGCUCAACCUCGGAAUUGCCUUUGAUACUGCUAUCUUCGAGUUCGGGAGAGGUUGGCGGAAUUCCUAGUGUAGAGGUGAAAUUCGUAGAUAUUAGGAAGAACACCAGUGGCGAAGGCGGCCAACUGGCCCGAACUGACGCUCAUGUACGAAAGCGUGGGGAGCAAACAGGAUUAGAUACCCUUGUAGUC
rnacentral:rRNA from 1 species